rnacentral:snRNA from 1 species
AGCCUUGAGCAGUGGCAGUGCUGCAGCCAAGGAGGUUUAUCUGAGGUGCGAUUAUUGCUAAUGGAAGGAGCCCCAGUCUUUGCCUUUAGCUUUGUCAUCAGCUCCUGCUUCAGGUGCACUGUUUGGCUUCCACCUGUGA